rnacentral:rRNA from 1 species
GACGAACGCUGGCGGCGUGCUUAACACAUGCAAGUCGAACGGAAAGGCCCUGCUUUUGUGGGGUGCUCGAGUGGCGAACGGGUGAGUAACACGUGAGUAACCUGCCCUUGACUUUGGGAUAACUUCAGGUAACUGGGGCUAAUACCGGAUAGGAGCUCCUGCUUCAUGGUGGGGGUUGGAAAGUUUCGGCGGUUGGGGAUGGACUCGCGGAUUAUCAGCGUGUUGGUGGGGUAGUGGCUUACCAAGGCUUUGACGGGUAGCCGGCCUGAGAGGGUGACCGGCCACAUUGGGACAGAGAUACGGCCCAGACUCCUACGGGAGACAGCAGUGGGGAAUAUUGCACAAUGGGCGGAAGCCUGAUGCAGCAACGCCGCGUGCGGGAUGACGGCCUUCGGGUUGUAAACCGCUUUCGCCUGUGACGAAGCGUGAGUGACGGUAAUGGGUAAAGAAGCACCGGCUAACUACGUG